GAGGAUCUUCCAGUGAGAGUCGAAAAAGUUGAACGGAGCAGGGCCUAACUGUAACAAAGAACCUAAUAUUAAUUGCGCAUUAUAAGUUGUUUUCGUUAACCAACACACAACAUUAAUUUCAAUAUUUUAAAUCCAGUGUUAUUCCACUAGGUUGAUUCUGAUUACAAUAGAAAGUACAACAAAUAAAAAACAACAGAUAAUUGGCACAGUCUAAAGAGAGAAAACAGCAACACAACCUUUACGAUGCUAAAAACUGUACUUCAUAGAAACAGAGACGUCGCUACAAAAAUGACUCAAAUGAAUAAUAAAUAUAUCAAUAAAUGAAGUUAUGCUGUUUUAUCAACUCUGUUGUGGCUGGGAAAAAUUCAAAAAAAUUUGUGGAACAUUAGUUUUGCGCACGUUCAGCACGAUGAUGCUCUGGUCAGGAUGGAUACGAC